rnacentral:rRNA from 1 species
UGGGGAAUAUUGGACAAUGGGCGCAAGCCUGAUCCAGCAAUGCCGCGUGUGUGAAGAAGGCCUGCGGGUUGUAAAGCACUUUCGGUGGGGAAGAAAGGCUCAAAGUUAAUAUCUUUGAGAGUUGACGUUACCCACAGAAGAAGCACCGGCCAACUCUGUGCCAGCAGCCGCGGUAAUACAGAGGGUGCAAGCGUUAGUCGGAGUUAUUGGGCGUAAAGCGUGUGUAGGCGGAUAUUUAAGUCGGAUGUGAAAUCCCCGGGCUCAACCUGGGAACCGCAUUCGAUACUGGAUAUUCUUGAGUAUGGUAGAGGAAAGCGGAAUUUCCGGUGUAGCGGUGAAAUGCGUAGAUAUCGGAAAGAACACCAGCGGCGAAGGCGGCUUUCUGGACCAAUACUGACGCUGAGACACGAAAGCGUGGGGAGCAAACAGG